UUAAGUUCAGCGGGUAGUCCUACCUGAUUUGAGGUCAAGUUUGUCAAAGUUCUUUUUGUUCGUUGUGAGCAGCACAAUCCGUUCAUGCGGCAUACCAAAGGCAUAGAUAAUUUAUCACACCUAUAGUAGCAGCUCAGAUGCCACUAAUGCGUUUCAGGAGAGCAGACCUUUGUUCAAAGCCUGCAAAGACCCCCACAUCC
rnacentral:misc_RNA from 1 species